rnacentral:rRNA from 1 species
GAUGAACGCUAGCGGCAGGCUUAAUACAUGCAAGUCGAGGGGCAGCAUGAUUGUAGCAAUACAAUUGAUGGCGACCGGCAAACGGGUGCGGAACACGUACACAACCUCCCAAUAAGUGGGGAAUAGCCCAGAGAAAUUUGGAUUAAUACCCCGUAACAUAACGAUGUGGCAUCACAUUGUUAUUAUAGAUUUUUCGCUUAUUGAUGGGUGUGCGGCUGAUUAGAUAGUUGGCGGGGUAACGGCCCACCAAGUAUACGAUCAGUAGCUGAUGUGAGGGAAUGAUCAGCCACACGGGCACGGAGACACGGGCCCGACUCCUCAGGGAGGCAGCAGUAAGGAAUAUUGGACAAUGGACGCAAGUCUGAUCCAGCCAUGCCGCGUGAAGGAUUAAGGUCCUCUGGAUUGUAAACUUCUUUUAUAAGGGACGAAAAAAGGCUUUUCUAAGUCGUCUGACGGUACCUUAUGAAUAAGCACCGGCUAACUCCGUGCCAGCCGCCGCAGUAAUAC